rnacentral:rRNA from 1 species
AACGUAGGUGGCGAGCGUUAUCCGGAUUUACUGGGCGUAAAGGGUGUGCAGGCGGCCCCUCAAGUGGUGUAUGAAAGGGCUCGGCUCAACCGGGCUAGGUCAUGCCAGACUGAGGGGCUAGAGAGCGAGAGCGGGACGUGGAAUUCCGGGUGUAGUGGUGAAAUGCGUAGAUAUCUGGAGGAACACCGGUGGCGAAGGCGGCAUCCUGGACCGGCACUGACGCUGAGGCGCGAAAGCUAGGGGAGCAAACGGG